rnacentral:rRNA from 1 species
UACGGAGGAUGCAAGCGUUAUCCGGAAUCAUUGGGCGUAAAGCGUCCGUAGGUGGCUUUUCAAGUCUGCCGUCAAAGACCGGGGCUUAACCCCAGAAAGGCGGUGGAAACUGAAUAGCUAGAGUGCGGUAGGGGUAGAGGGAAUUCCCGGUGUAGCGGUGAAAUGCGUAGAGAUCGGGAAGAACACUGGUGGCGAAAGCGCUCUACUGGACCGUAACUGACACUCAGGGACGAAAGCUAGGGGAGCGAAUGGG